CUAUAACAUUAUUAGAGAUAUGCACAAAUGACCACUACUACAAAAUGAGUGUUUUUUCGACGCUGGUGCCUCGAGGAUAGAUAAGGGGUGUCAGCAGGUAGAUUUAGUAUCUGCGUUUUUUGGACGCUUUUAGGUGACAAAAGCAAGUCGCUGGAAAGCGUCGAGAAGACAAGCACAUGUCACGCACGUGAAUUAUUAGUACCUCACAACUUAGCCCACAUUUCAAAUUUUAAGGGGAAAAUAAACCAAAAAAAAAAAAAAGACUACUUAGUUCUCAACCCUAAUUAUUCCUCCCUCCUUCAUGAGAUUCAUUCAUGAAUUCUAAAUCUAGAUCUUAACUCUCCCUGCAAUUCCCCAAAUUAUGCUUGGUGAAAUUUCUCUACUCACUUUGAACUGUAAUCGAUUUGUCACUCUCUAUGCCGCCGUUAAGGGUGUACUAGGGACUGUGAUUAAGAGGUUUUGAAGAAGUUUUUUCUCCACUUGAUCUCCCUGAUGCUCAUGUCUUACUAACAUAGCAGCCACGUUGGGUGUUGCAGGUACGUAUGUUGUUGCUAUUGUUAUUAAUUGUUGUUAUGUUUUUGUUAUUGUUUGAUGUUGUUGCUGCACACAUUGAGGUGUUGUUGCAAACUUGCUACUGCCUUCCUUUGUUGACUGAGCUGCUGCCCCAGCUAUCUUCAUGGCUUGUUUGUGUCCUACCUUGUGUGUGUGUGUGUGUGUGUGUGUGUUUGUGGUUGUGAUUGUGUCAUAUCUUGUGUUACUUAGAAUUGAAUCAAUAAAAGAAAUCCUUUUUGUGAAUUUAUAAAACUACUAGGAUUCUACUCUGACAAAGCUAAGCUCACCUGUGGCCUAACCUCACUUGCCUGUAGGACCUUUUUUAGUUUCAUCUUGUUAUAUACUUUGACUAAAAUCAAUAAAAGAAACACUCUUUAUGUAUUAAUAACUUACCUAUAGGACUCUAGGACUCGAGUUUAAUAAAUCUAAGCUUACUUUUUUUUCCAAGGAGGUCAGCAAUUGCUUCAGAAACUACUGGGAACGAAAUUUACGAGCUUGUCUGGAGAUAUGUUUAUUUAUUUAAGAACUUUUUCAUACUUAUUUAUAGGUAAAAGAGCCAUUUUAUGUGCAAGGGUUUUGUAUGCAACUUUAACCUUUUUUGGUAAACUUUCAUCCAUGUUUGAAUAUUUAUAAAUAUAAGAGAGAAAUCAUUUUAUUAUAGAUUAUACUACGAAAUUACGAGUUAGCAAAAGAUGAACUUUGAUUAAAAUCUACUCUCUUCAACUAAAUUGUAACAUAUUUUUCUUCAACUGAAUUGUAGCAUAAAAUUACGAUUAAGUAAUUUUUUUUGUCUUAUUUGUACUCUCUGGCUCUCUGCUCACAUAAAAAAAAUACUUAAUUAAUAAAACUAUAGAAUCCUGAUGAUUAUAUGGAAUACUAUCUCUUUUGAAAAAUGAAUGGCCUUGAAAUGAGGGUUGUAAAUCUUGCAAUAGGGUAGUUUGAUUAAUUCAUUUUUCGGAAUCUUGCCUUUUGAAGUAAUAAGGUUUUUUAAAAUCCUGCAUUUGAAAUAGAAGUGUUCAGAAUUAGCAUGAAUCAAAUUAAAGGCAUGGCAAUACAAGAAUUCGAGAAAAGCGGUAAUGUUGCUAGGAAGGCUGCAUCUUUUCCUAUGUACGAUGAGAAAGAGAGUGGAAAUCUAUAUCUGAUGUAAUUAUCUGCUAAUAUUCUGCUGUAAUUUUCUGUUAGUUUGUUAUUUGCCUCUUGUUGAUUUAACAAUUUUAUGUACUUUCUUACAUGUAGAAGUACGUUGCUGUCGAUAAAUAUAGCUGUGUUUCUGUUUGAGAUAGCUAGUUUAGUAAAAGGUUCAGACUACAACCACUAUUCGCUACUUUUGAUGUACGGUGCCAAGGUUAAUGAUCUGAUUUUUUUGUGUAGUUGACGAUGGCAGGAAACAUUUGAGCUUUAUUACCUUUAUUUUUAAGCUUUAGCUCAUGAUUAAUUAGUUUUUUAUUAAGCUCAUCAAAUAAGAUGCAUACAUGUACCACGUUUAAGGAAUCAUUAGCAAAAUUAUCAUAGCUCAACUAAUUAGUUUUUUAGUACAUUGUUUAAGGAUAUCAUAACCCACUAUCAUAUCCCUCUGACAAUGGUGCCUCACUGCCUCUCCUUCCAAAUAAUUCAUCAACCUCAUUGAAUAAGUUUGUGGGUUCAAUAGAUUUAUGAAAAUUAGCUUACUUAAUUUCUUGUGUUGACUUGCCAAUUAGGUGAUACAUCACACAACGAGGACUGAUGAUUCGAAGGUUUUCCAUGAGCAUUUUUGUCCUUGAUAUUAUAUGCUUCUGCAUAAUCUAGCUACUAUCGAUGCUGAAUUUCUUGCAGAUUGUGAACCAGAUCAGAGGAAUAUAAGAGCCAUCAUUUUGUCACAGCUAGAAAUAUUUACGUUCUUUGGAGCUGCUAUGAGUGCUGACUUCGUUUGGCUCGUUCUCCUUCGUUAGAGAAGCUUUUAGGUGAUUCUUUUAUUGAAUGUGGGUGUUUUUUUUGGCUACUUUCUGACUUUAAAAUUUCAGAAUUUUUGGAGUUUAUUUGCUAUUAAAUUGGGCUGUUUUGUUUGGACUGGUCUGUUUUGGUUCGGAUUGGUUUAUUCUUGCUGUUUGGGUGGGAUUUUAAUAGAGUUGUUCUGUUAUUUUCUCUAGGGAUUUCCUGGGUGAUUUAGGGUAUAUUGAGGGUGUUUGAAAAUAUUAUUGCACUCUUUAUUCCCUUGUGUUUCUUGCUGCUACUAUUUUCUUGUGCGUUCAUUUUUCCCUUGUAUGUGAUUACUAUGGCACAGGAAUUGGUAAAUAAAAAAACUUAUGGAUGAUUUCCACUUGAUUAGAGAACAAAACAACUAGAUUGUCAGACUAAGGCUAGAUUCGUGGCUUUCUCUACUCUAAUAAUUGACAUCAUAAAAAAUAAAAAAAAAAUAAUAAAAAAAAAGAAUAGUGAUGAUGGUUCUUCUAGUGAUGGUAUGAAUCAAGAGUUACCAUAAUUGUGGUCUACUGCGAUAAGGUAUAUAUUCUCCUAAGAAAUUCUAAAAGGUUAAUGGCUGUUUUUUCCUCUUUGAAUUGGGCAUUUUGUCACAAUUUGAACUUUGUUUUACUCCCCCUUGCAAGAAGCUUAAGAAACCAUAAUUGUGGCUUUCGACUAGACGUGUAACGAGAAUAGCCAAGAAGAAAAAAGAAAUCAAAACUUAAGAAUUUGGCAAAUGAUGUCUUGUCUUCUGAGUGUAUGGAUGCCUUGAUACUUUUGGUAUGUUCUUUACUCCAUAAUUAGUUAUGAAAGUUGGUUGUGAUUUUGAUUUGCUUAAAUUACUAGGUGGAAAAUAUAUUUCAGAUAUUAUAUUCUCUAUAUAGUUAGUAAUUUUGAUCUACUAUUGUAUUUAGAUUCGCUUGUUGAUGUAUUGAUUGAUGCAUAUGCUGAAAUGUGUUUGCAGGAUCAAAAAGAUUAUAUAUUGAGAAAUGGUAGAAGAGGGCGGACAGCUAACACUGCAAUAUUUUAAGGAUGGAUGAAAGAUAUAUUUUAGCUAUUUAAAAGAUUUGAACCAGUGAUUCGGAAUUUGUUCCACUACAAAUAGUCACGAAUGAAGUAUAAGUUGGAAUUAUAUUUAUUUUAAAAGAAAACUCAUUACUAUGAGAUUGUACAUUUAUAUGAAAUAAAAAAUAUUUGGCAUAAUUUUGUUGUGUGUGUAUCUUUUUUUUUUGGUAAUAUUAGUAUGCUAGAAAUAAUUGUCGGUGAAUAAAAUCUGUAUCUUAUUUUGGUAUUCUAAAUAUUUAUUUAUAGAAUAUUGACAAAAAAAAGCGUCCCCAAAUUAGAAAAUAUAGACAUGAAAAAGUGUCGCCAAAGUUAAGAAAGUGUGCCAAAUGUUGCAAAUUGUGACGCAUCGUAUAUAAAUCUGGACAAAAUAAAGCGUCGAGAUUCGCGACGCUUUUUUAUGUCGGCAAAAUUCUCAACUCACUUUUUCUCGACGCUUU